CGAGUAAUACAUCGGAACGUGUCUUCUAGUGGGGGAUAACUGCCCGAAAGGGCAGCUAAUACCGCAUGAGACCUGAGGGUGAAAGCGGGGGAUCGCAAGACCUCGCGCUGGAAGAGCGGCCGAUGUCCGAUUAGCUAGUUGGUGAGGUAAAGGCUCACCAAGGCGACGAUCGGUAGCUGGUCUGAGAGGACGACCAGCCACACUGGGACUGAGACACGGCCCAG
rnacentral:rRNA from 1 species